CCCAAAAACACACCAAAAACAUUGCUUUUCACCCCAAAAACACCCCCAAAAUACCCGAAAACAUUGCUUUUCACCCCAAAACACACCAAAAACACCUCAAAAACACCAAAAAUACCCCAAAAACAUUGCUUUUUAACCCAAAAAUACCCCCAAAACACUGCUUUUCACCCCAAAAACACUGCUUUUUACCCCAAAAAUACCCCAAAAACACCGCUUUUCACCCCAAAAACACCCCCAAAACACUGCUUUUUAACCCAAAAAUACCCCAAAAACACUGCUUUUCACCCCAAAAAUACCCCAAAACACCAAAAAUACCCCAAAAAACACUGCUUUUCAACCCCAAAAUACCCCAAAAACGCUGCUUUUUACCCCAAAAAUACCCCAAAACACCCCAAAAACACUGCUUUUCACCCCAAAAACACUGCUUUGCACCCCAAAAACACUGCUUUGCACCCCAAAAUCCUGCUUUUCACCCCAAAACCAGUUUUCCACCCCAAAAUCACACUUUUCCACCCCAAAAUCCCCUUAUUUCACCCCAAACCCCCUUUUAUUUCUCACUCCUCUUUUAACUCAAAACCGCCUUUAUUCCCCCCAAAACCCCACAUUUCUGCCCUUUUUACCCAAAACCCCUUAUUUCACCCCAAAACCCCUUUAUCCCCCCCCAAACCAUAUUAUCCUCCCAUUUUACCCAAAACCACCUUCUUUCACCCCAAACCCCUUUUUCCCCCCAAACGCGUUUCUCCCCUUUCUUUUCCCCAAACCCCCUUUAUCCUCCCCAAAACCCCACAUUUCUGCCCUAUUUACCCAAAACCCCCUCAUUUCUUCCCAAAACCCCUUUAUCCCCCCCAAAACUCCACAUUUCUGCCCAUUUUACCCAAAACCCCCUUAUUUCCCCCAAACCCCUUUAUCCCCCCCAAAACCCAUAUUACUCUCCUUUUUUACCCAAAACCCCCUAAUUUCCCCCCAAACCCCCACAUUUUUACCCUAUUUACCCAAAUCCCCUCUGUUUCACCCCAAACCAGGCCCCAUGGGCCGCGGUGGCUUCGGCGGCUCCGGCUCUGGCUCCAGGGGGGGGUUCCCCAGCGGAGGGGGGGGGCAGCAGCGAGCGGGGGACUGGAAGUGCCCUAA
rnacentral:lncRNA from 1 species